CUUUGUUUUAAAUUCAUCAAGUCAAAGGUCUGCAUUUUUUAAGGAUUGGUUUCUAGUGAUGUAUUUUGUUCCUUUGAAUGAGCCAUGUCAUUUCUCCGUCUUGUGAUCUUUUGUUGAGAUUGGGGAUUUUGUUGAAAUUUGAAAAUUUGUUGAGAUUUGAAAAAGCAGACACCUCUCCCACUUUGAAAACCGGGUUCACACAGGGCCUUCACUAAUCAGCCCAACUUAAAGGCUCAGGGUCCUCUCUGAUCUCUCCUGGAGGUGCAUCUUGCCUGGGACUGCAUGUGUGCUUUUGUUCUACCUCACCACAUAUCAACUGCUGUUAACAGUUUCAUUUCCAUGAGUGUUUCAUUCCUGCCUAUUCUCAGAAGACAUGAAUGUCUGGUCUUUUCUUCUGUGAUCUCUUGUCCCCAGACAUCCAUGGGUCUUCAGACCACCUGCAGUUCAAACCUGCUACUGCAUCCAUGCCUGCCGUCAGCAGUCUCCCAACUUUCUUCCACAUUAUGCCACCAUUUCCAACGACGUUCUGAGUCAAGGAAGACAAACCAGUCUGCAGCAAGCCAGAAAGUUGCAAGCAAGUUUCAUUAUUUACCUUGAGUCCUGAGGGAGAAACCAGGACUGGGUGGUUUCCUCACAACUGAGGUGUAUGGCAUGAGGGUGCGGCAGAGGCCAACCAGAGGUAGGGCAGUGCAGGGGUUUGGUGGGUGAGGGGACAGCUUGUUCCUGGUUCUCAGUUGCAGUAGAACCUGAUUCUGAGAGGCUCCUGGCUACCUGUAGCCUUAGUUCCGUUGUGCAGAAGCUGGAGGUGGCUGCAGUUACUUGGGUUUUGUAGCUGCGUGCUAUGGUCUGAAUGUUUGCAUCUUCCCACAGUUCAUGAUGAAAUCCUGACUCCCAAAGGUAUGGCAGUAGGAGGCUGAGGUGAUCGGGAGGUGUGUGUGAGUAGAGUGUCACUCAUGAAGAGAUGCCAUGUAAAGACAUUCCUAGCCCCUAUAGCAUCUGAGAAGUCUGCAACCUGGAAGAGGAUCCUCACUUGACCAUGCUGGCACCCUACCCUGAUCUAGGACUUCCAGCCUCCGGAACUGACAACCUUACUUGGCACAUCUCAUGAUUGAGCCAAACCUAACUGACCUUAUGCACCAGGUCCAAUGCAGUGAGGAGUCUCUUAUUGGAUGUAUUUAGAAAUCACCUCUUCCCAAACCCCACCAUAUGAUUUUGAUAAGCCGCCAACCACAACAGUCUACAACCCUGAUUCCAAAGGUGUGCAUAUGACACCAACUGUGCCAGAAUCCCUGGCUGGGAAGGACUAAAGCAGGAGAAGCUCUUUCUUCCUUGUGGUUGUUAAACUGAGAUGAUGAACAUGAAGCUGAGAGAAACCAUGUUUCCUAUGAAGAAAAAACACCCACCUCCAGUCAGAAACUAAGAAGCCAAUGUGCCAAGAAUCAAGAAAGUGGCAGAGAGGAGUCUCGACAGUGCCCCCGGCCCUGGAGACAUAAGUUUAAGAAGCCAGAUCCAGCUUCCCAUGACUGGUAAUAUAACCUGAAACAACCACCUUGUUGAAGUCUGGUUUCUAAGAUCAAACCCCAAAACCCAAUAAACAGAUUAAGGAACAAACUGAAGAGAAACCAGGGGUGAGAUACUGCAAAGACUGACGAAAAAAAAAAUUAGCUCUUCAGUAACUAAGUAGCCUACUUUAAAUUCCACAUUCUCAUAUUUAGGUCAAAACCUCCAAAAACAAGACUUUUCAGUAUCCCAACUUAUACUGUAUCUUCUACGGCGGGGACGAAAAAUGGUAAUUCUGUUCCUCUGGCUUCUAGAUGUUGGUGUGCUCACUGGAAUGCCAGCAGGGGCUGUCAGG